UAAUUAAGAAGCAAUUUUUGCUUUCAAUUUCGGCUUGAAAAUUAGGUUAAUUUUUAACCCUUAAUUAA
rnacentral:tRNA from 1 species